rfam:Schizosaccharomyces pombe complete mitochondrial genome
GCUAAUUUAACUCAAUUGGUAGAGUGCGUACCUUGUAAGUACGAAGUUAGAGGUUCAAUUCCUCUAAUUAGCA